AUUGAACGCUGGCGGCAGGCCUAACACAUGCAAGUCGAGCGAGCGGCGGACGGGUGAGUAAUGUCUGGGAAAAUGCGUGAUGGAGGGGGAUAACUACUGGAAAAGGUAGCUCAUACCGCAUACAAUCAGAGGUGCACAGAUGGGAUUAGCUAGACGGUGGGGUAACCUCUCACCUAGGCGACGAUCCCUAGCUGGACUGUGAGGUGGACCAGACACAAUGGAACUGAGACACGGUCCAGACUCCUACGGGAGGCAGCAGUGGGGAAUUGUGAACAAUGGGCGAAAUCCUGAUGCAGCCAUGCCGCGUGUGUGAAGAAGGCCUUCGGGUUGUAAAGCACUUUCAGCGGGGAAGCGUUACCCGCAGAAGAAGCACCGGCUAACUCCGUGCCAGCAGCCGCGGUAAUUC
rnacentral:rRNA from 1 species